AUGCUAGAAGGAAUUGAUGAAACUGUGAGCUCAUUGGAUGUAAAAGAUGACGAGGAGAGCGAAGAACAAAAGGAGGAAGAACAGAUUAGCUACCCGUGCCCACCUUCUAAUGAGAGUAACUCUUCAACACAUACAUUAUUUAAUUUCCCUUCAUGCUUACCGAAGGAUGAAUGCUAUGAUAAUUGCUAUGAUCCCGUUGAUUCUUUUGAAAUAUCCCUUUUUGAUGAAUUUGAUGCCUGCUAUGCUUGGGGCCAAGAUGCCAAUAUGAAUGAUGCUUAUGGAGAUGAACUUGCUACUGUUCCUUAUGUUAAACAUGAAAUUGUUGCUAUUGCACCCACACGUGAUAGUCCUAUUAUCUUUUUGAAUUCUCCAAACUACACUAUAUCGGAGAAGUUUGCACUUAUUAAGGAUUACGUUGAUGGGUUGCCUUUUACCGUUGCACAUGAUAAUUUUGAUGAAUGUAAUAUGCAUGUGCUCGCUGCUCCUACUUGUAAUUAUUAUGAGAGAGGAACUAUAUCUCCGCCUCUCUAUGUUUCCAACACGGAAGAAUUGAAAGAAACUACUUAUGCUAUGUAUUGGCCUUUACUUGAUGUUCAUGAAUUGUUCUUGUAUGACAUGACGAUGCAUAGGAAGAGAGUUAGACUUCGUUUAGUGCUCAUUACAAAUUUGAUAUAUGUUGUAUUGGACUUUAAUUGA
rnacentral:rRNA from 1 species